UACGAAGGGUGCAAGCGUUACUCGGAAUUACUGGGCGUAAAGCGUGCGUAGGUGGUUUGUUAAGUCUGAUGUGAAAUCCCCGGGCUCAACCUGGGAAUGGCAUUGGAUACUGGCAGGCUAGAGUGCGGUAGAGGGUGGUGGAAUUCCCGGUGUAGCAGUGAAAUGCGUAGAGAUCGGGAGGAACAUCUGUGGCGAAGGCGGCCACUUGGACCAGCACUGACACUGAGGCACGAAAGCGUGGGGAGCAAACAGG
rnacentral:rRNA from 1 species